AGACAACCUCCAGAGCAGGGCAGCAGGCAGCUGCUAGAGAUUUAUUUCUCCACUUAGUCGUCUCCGCUUGCGGCUUCCUCCCAUGAGUGAGGACCAAGAGAAGCCCCCUGUCUCUGAUGAAAGUGGGGGAUGAACACUGAACCAAACCCACACUGCUCAGCACAUUUGAUGCGGCCAGAAACAGACUGCAAAGGCUGAGAAAGCUUUUCAGGGGCCGUCUGGCUGUGUGGGUGCGAAGACCUGGCUGUACUUGGAAUCACCUGGGAAGACUUACAAAAAUGGUUUCCGAGCCUCACCCGCAAGGAUUCUGACUUGGUGAGUCUGAAUCACCAAGAUUCUCGGGGUGAGGCCCCAGAAUCUGCCUGUAUGUAGCCAGCAAUGCUGCAUUUGGACCUGCAUCUGGGGACCUCUGGGCCACCCUGGCCCCCUUAAUUUAUAAAGCAGAACCAGCCCCAGGGUGGAGAAUGAAUGAGGUGCCUGUCACCUGGUUACACAAUUUAAGGUGUCCUUAGUUAUGCCCAGCUGACUCGAGCACAGAUCUUCCUGGGCACUCUCUUCUACACCAGCACAGGGUGGGGCGUGGGAGGGGAGUACGUGCCCAUGCGGGCAUCUACUGAAUGUGCCAGGCCUGUAUCUCUAUUAUCUCACCUCUAUCCUGUGAAGUAGAUAUUAUUAUCCCCAUUGUACAGAUGAGAAAACCUAGACUCAGAGAGGCUGAGCCAUUUGGUCAAGGACACACAGCUGCUGAAAUGACAAGGCCAAGUUUGAACCCAGGUGGUCCCUUCUUUGGCCCAUGCUUAACUACACCAGGGCACCCUCUUGAUAGUGGUCUCCUUGGGGUUCUGUUGCAGCUCAGAGCACAAGCUUCUCCCUGAUCGCUGCCCUAUAGCUUAUUUCCAAUGUUUUUUUUUUUUUUUUUCUGGUUUUUAGU
rnacentral:lncRNA from 1 species